rnacentral:rRNA from 1 species
GACGAACGCUGGCGGCGUGCUUAACACAUGCAAGUCGAGCGAGGCCCUCCUUCGGGGGGUGCCCUAGCGGCGAACGGGUGAGUAACACGUGGGCAACCUGCCCUCAGCUCUGGGAUAACUCCAAGAAAUUGGUGCUAAUACCGGAUGUGACCGCUGACCGCAUGGUCUGGUGGUGGAAAGAUUUAUCGGCUGAGGAUGGGCCCGCGGCCUAUCAGCUUGUUGGUGGGGCACGGCCCACCAAGGCGACGACGGGUAGCCGGCCUGAGAGGGUGACCGGCCACACUGGGACUGAGACACGGCCCAGACUCUACGGGAGGCAGCAGUGGGGAAUUGUUCGCAAUGGGCGCAAGCCUGACGACGCAACGCCGCGUGGAGGAU